UUUACUUUUUAUCCCAAACAGAACAUUGUAAGAUUAUAUAGUUGUGUUAAAACUAUGUAAAAACAUAUAAACAAAAAGAUAUGACCUACAAAGUGCUCAAGCAGGCAACCUAGAAAAACCCUGUGUGAGUGUUGUGCAUGAUAUGUCUUGAUCAAAGGAUAUGAGAAGUUUUAUCUUGACUUAUUUUAUCUAUCUAAAAACUAAGCCAGCUACACAUAGUUGAAAGAGAUGUAUGUGUCCAGAGGGCUAUUUAUUCCUUCUGCCUUAGACAUGUAUCUUGAACUGAAAUGAGCUGACCUAUUCAGGUCCAUUGACUACUGAAGGAUCCUAUUUCAGGGCUUCUAAAAUUAGGUUCUGACUAUAAAUUGAAAAAAAAAAAAAAAAAAAGAAAGACUCCUUUUUCAGAAGCAUAGCUGAAAUAAAUUUAAUCAAGAAUGGUAUUUCAAACACCUACCAUUAAUGUGAAGGAGUACAGGAAAAGUAAAGUGCUCAGUUAAGCCUGGACUAAUGUUAUGAUUUUAAAUGGAGCAGUAUCAUCAAGAACACCCAGUAAAACUGAGCUUUAAUAUUCUCAUUUUUAAAAACUCAUCUUAGAAAAAUAACUUUUCUGAUGGCUGUGGCCUGUGAGGCACAACUGGCUGAGAAUUGAUGUAAAGUAAAAAACCAGACAGGCAACACUAAACACCUUGAAUUUUUCAUGUACUUUGCCAGUGAACUAUAACACCUGAUGCAAGAUAAGUGCCUGUACUUGCAUCUUACAUGAAAACUCAGCUUGGAUAAAAAUGCUCAGGAUACUGAUUCCUCUCAUUUUACACUAAUGUACAAAUGCAGUACUUACUACAGCCAUUCCGGGUUGAAUGUACAGGCAUAUUUAGGUUGUCCCUUCCCAGGAAGAAUAAAAGGUCUUCUACAAUAGGGAGCUCUGGAAAACCUACCAGCAAAAAAUAUUUCUUAUUUAGGAUUCAAUAUAGCCCACAGAACUGCAUGUUCAGCUUGUCAGUAGUAGAUAUGUUUCCCAAGAAUGUAAGAUGGAGGGUUUUACUUGAUGGCUAAGAGAUCAAUACUAUCAUCCGUGAUAGUAAUGGUAAAGCAUUGCCUACCUUGAAAACAUCUCUAACUUUUUCUGUAAGGGUUCACACGUAUUUCACUGAAAACCACCAAAGGUAUUGAACACCUUUUAGGAUUCAUGAAAUUCUGAAGGAUGGAAACUCCUCAGUAACAGAAAGGUUGGGGAAUAGAAAUUGAGGUAAGGUUACUCCAUGCAGAUAAAUGAUGUGUGAUAGAAAUACUGAUACCUGAGUAAUGAUGUGAAAAUUCUCCUUUAUGGCUAUUGCCUGGAGUGCCCAUUCUAGAGCAGGUAAAAUGUAUAAAGGGCCUUUAUAGUAGCAGCACACUAGUUCAAUAUUCAGUAUAAAGUCUCAUAUGAAUGUGCAGGUGACACAAUACUUCAGAGCUGUUAGGUAUAAUCCUGGCACCUUAAGCACAAGCUGAUUCAUUAGGGCAUGUGUUCUAACCAGUGUGUGCUCUUUUCAGAUGACAGGGUAGGAUAUGACGUAUUUGGCUUGUAGGGGUAUUGUCUGUUUUGCCCUGAAUUUGCUCAAAGGAUAUUAAAUGUGUCAAAGCUGAUGUGCUCAGAUUUUGGUGAGGCACCUGGAAUGGAAGGUGGCUGGAGAAAGGUCCAUGGUAAAUGUCUGCAUUAGGGCUUCCCGUGACACCCACUGUGAACACAAAUGAAAAUUCAAGCAUUGCUAACUAAACAAAGCUGCGAAAAUGUACCAGGCAAACAUGGAUAUUUGAGGAGACAUCUCACAUGUCACAUGUGAAACACCCUUAAUUUAUUGUAAUCACACCACAGAAAUGGAUCUGUCAAUAUCUACAAGCGCUCUCAGAUGGCAGUGCAGUACAAAAUAGUACUGCAAGGAAGCAAGGAUGUAGAACAACCAGCAUUCCCGUGUGCUCCACAUCUCUUCCAAAAGCUGCUGCUGGUUAAUAGUAAUAGCAACCUUAGAGCUGUUACCUGCUUCUUCAACUGGAUGUACCUCCUGCCUGUAGAUUUUCAUAACAUUUCUUGGGUGCAUCGCUUGCACAAGAAGAGCUACCUACCUUGAAGAUAUGUGUCCGUUCGUGGCAUAGAUUAAUUGGACCCCAUAACUUCAGCCACUUUUGAGAUGACCCUGGUUUGUGCCUGCUGCAUUCCCCUAGACUUCCUGAAUUUCCAAAGACUUCUGUAUAAAGGCUUUGAUGAUUCCUAGCCUUCAACAGCAGAGGCCAGUGACUACUAUACAUAGUGACUAACCACUGAAACCAUCCCAGAAGAAAGAAAAAAAACCUUGUUCUCAUUCAGCACAAAAACUUACCUCAGUCACUGGGAUAUACAAGAAGUUCAGCACCUGACGAGACAGCCCACAGCGGUGCUAGGUUUUGGACCUGGAAAAUCCUGUAGUCUUCUUAAAUUACAUGGUUGAAUAAAAAUAUCUUCAUCACCACUUUCCAUGAAUCUCCAAAUGCUGAGACUGUUUAACUGUUCUGCCCCACACAUCAAACCAUAGAUAUGGCUGGGCAGACAAUCUGGACAAAUCUGGAGCUGGGCAGACAACCAUUCCUCCUCGGUUUCUACUAUGCUGAGCACAUCUGAGCAUGGACUGCAGCAUUUAAGAAGGAUCCAGGUGGAUGCCUCUAGGAGCAGGUGAAGAAGCUGAAUCUCUAGGUGAAAAAAAUAGAAGCUGCUUCAAUAGAAAAGGGUCCCUUCGCAACAGAUAGAAGUACCUGCUUCCCUUUCUGUCUCUUUCUCAUUUCUGAUACUCUAUUUUUUUUUUAACCUUGCUUUGUAUAAUGGCCUGAAGUUGUAUUUUCUUUCUUCACAGAAACUGAAGAAUAAACUUUCUCAGCUUUUUGCA